AAUUUCUUCCUACUAUCCUAUUUAAUACUACUGUCUCUUGGUCUGAAUUAUUCCCCCUCAUCCUGUCACUCUGUGGUCUUCUUUUAAAGAAGUCUCUCUCCAUGAUUGAUAGAUGCUGAUGAUUUAUGUAGUCUCACUAACUUUAAUGAAUAUAUUGCAGAUUACUUAAAUUACACUUCAAAGAAACUUUGACAAUAUGAAGGUAAAAAAACCCCUUCACCCUCAGCACCUUUCAUUUUUGUCAAAGGAAUAAUAAACACCCACAAAGUUAUUUCCAAAAUUGAUGGUCUCCAUCUGUAUUUUUUACACGCAGUAUCAAAAAAACCUCCAACAAAAUCUGUUUUUUUUCUUUAUUUUAGGAAAUGAAUUUUGUCGCUUCAGUAAAUGAAAUGGAUGCUGCCACCUCAGUGUUGCAAGGAAACAAAUUUUUUCAUAGCCUUUCUCCAUAGUUAUGUGCUAAGGGAGGAUAGAAAACCAGGAUCUUUAUGCUCAACAAUAUAAGACAUUUAUAAAAGCAGACUGAAAGAACUUCAAGAAGUGUGGCUUAAUUAGAUUUUAUUUAGAAAGUCUGUUUUGGGAAACAGUCACUGCGAACAGUAAGGAAUAAUUAUUACAGAUUACAUUGGGAGGCAACGUCUGUUAAAGCAGAAGACACAAAAGCAAGAUUAAAGAGGAGUUUUUAAAAUAUUUAAAGUGUAUCAAAUGAAAUUAUUCACAUAAAGUGGAACUAAGUAAAAAGAUAGGUUUAAUUUCCAGGACUGAUUUCCUUUAUAAAUUGCAAAACUGUAAUAUGAAUGAACUUGUGAGGUUUGUAAUGCUGGCCUCUCCUUAUGGAAGCAAAAUCAACACUUUAUUCAGAUAUCUGCUUGUUCUGGCAUUGUUGUAGCAUCUGCUAAAAAAGUCUUAUUUCAGUCUUCUUCAGAAGAAGGAGUUGCUCUAGAGCUGAAGAAAUUUGUGUGAACACUCAUAUCUGUUCUCCUUCAAAGCAUAAACUGAUACAAAGAAUGCUAGUCCAGGUGUGCGAGCAAGCUAUGCGGGAAGAGUUUAGAGUAACAGAUUCAGCUGGCAUUGAUUGGUCUUUUGUCAAAGAAAUGAAAGAUAAUAUCUUCCAAAAUGUUAGAAAUAUGAGGCACAAUAGUUGUAAUGAGGAUAAUCAGGUAGCAGGGCAGAUUAUUACAGGAGAUGGUAAAUGCUGUACUGGGUGCCUCUGUAAAAAGGGUGUCUAACUCACAAAUCAUGGGACUCACAGAAGGAGUCACUGGGUGAAAUUCCCUGCCCUGUGUUAUGGGUAGGGUCAGAAUGGGUGAUUACAGUGGUAUCUUUUAAUUCUAUGAAUCUUUACGCUAUUAUUUAACAUACAUCUUUUUAUAUCUACAAUCCUUGCUUCCUAUAAAACCCCCGUGUUACUGUAAUUGCUUAGAUUGCCAGAUUCUUCAUCUUCAACAAUAUAUUACAUUUUACUGUUUGUGAAUAUGACUUGGUGAUGAAUUCUUUCAGGUGCUGCUUUCUUGCUCACUUUCCCCCACAAAGAACGUUUGUGUUCUUGAACUAGAAGGCAGAAACACAAGUAAGAAAAAAAAACCAGGAUCAUCCGUGAUGACAUUCAAGACAAGGUGUGGAAGAUUUAGCCUCAGAGAAACCAGAUUUCAAAGAAAGAUGUUGGACACAAGGAGCUUGUUGUGAACAACAUCUGCAGCUGGUUGGACUAAUUUUGUGUUAAAUAAAUUGGACUUUGAAAUUUUGUAACUACAAUAGGUCCUUUUUGCUAAUUUAUUGGAAUGAUGCUCCAGAUUUGCUUUACACAUUUUUAAAGCUGAUAUUUAUGGUUGAAAUGUUUUCAACAUCAGGGCUGUGUUUAAGUCUUUAUGUUUUAUAGGCCAGCUUGUGUGUCUUAGCAUGACAUUGAUAAAUAUGCAUUUCACUGGCUUUUUGCUUCUGGAAAUGAAAA